rnacentral:rRNA from 1 species
CUACGGGUUGCAGCAGUGAGGAAUAUUGCACAAUGGGGGGAACCCUGAUGCAGCAACGCCGCGUGGAGGAUGACGCAUUUCGGUGUGUAAACUCCUUUUAUAUGUCAAGAAAAUGACGGUAGCAUAUGAAUAAGCACCGGCUAACUCCGUGCCAGCAGCCGCGGUAAUACGGAGGGUGCAAGCGUUACUCGGAAUCACUGGGCGUAAAGGACGCGUAGGCGGGUUGGAAAGUCAGGUGUGAAAUCCUACAGCUUAACUGUAGAACUGCAUUUGAAACUUCUAAUCUAGAGUAUGGGAGGGGGAGAUGGAAUUAGUGGUGUAGGGGUAAAAUCCGUAGAUAUCACUAGGAAUACCUAAAGCGAAGGCGAUCUCCUGGAACAUUACUGACGCUAAGGCGUGAAAGCGUGGGGAGCAAACAGGAUUAGAUACCCUCGAAGUC